UGCAGUCGCGCGCGAAAGGGGGGCAACUCCCAAGUAGAGCGGCGAACGGGUGAGUAACGCGUGGGUAAUCUACCUCCGAGUGGGGAAUAACACCGGGAAACUGGUGCUAAUACCGCAUAAUAUCCUUAGGUCGUAAGACUUGGGGAUCAAAGCUGGGGACCGUAAGGCCUAGCGUUUGGAGAGGAGCCCGCGUCCGAUUAGCUAGUUGGCGGGGUAACGGCCCACCAAGGCAACGAUCGGUAGCCGGCCUGAGAGGGCGGACGGCCACACUGGGACUGAGACACGGCCCAGACUCCUACGGGAGGCAGCAGUGGGGAAUUUUUCGCAAUGGGGGAAACCCUGACGAAGCAACGCCGCGUGGAGGAUGAAGGCCUUCGGGUUGUAAACUCCUGUCGACCGGGACGAAAGUAGUCCGACCUAACACGUCAGGCUAUCGACUGUACCGGUGGAGGAAGCCACGGCUAACUCUGUGCCAGCAGCCGCGGUAAUACAGAGGUGGCAAGCGUUGUUCGGAAUUACUGGGCGUAAAGGGCGCGUAGGCGGUCUUGUAAGUCUCGUGUGAAAUCCCUCGGCUUAACUGAGGAACUGCACGGGAUACUGCGAGACUUGAGUUCGGGAGAGGGAAGCGGAAUUCCGGGUGUAGCGGUGAAAUGCGUAAUAUCCGGAGGAACACCGGUGGCGAAGGCGGCUUCCUGGACCGACACUGACGCUGAGGCGCGAAAGCUAGGGGAGCAAACGGGAUUAGAUACCCCGGUAGUCCUAGCUGUAAACGAUGAGUGCUG
rnacentral:rRNA from 1 species